rnacentral:lncRNA from 10 species
AGGUAUUACAGUCAUAGCAGAGCAGAGGACCUUAGCAGCCCUAGGCAGAGAGGGGCUGAAGAAGCCAACCAAGGCUUCAGGUGUGGUUGGAGAAAGAAGUCUCAGCUUCAAUCAAGUUUUCAAGUUGGAUUAAUACAUGGGAAUGAACUGUUACUUAUCUGCUAUAUUGUUUUUGUGAUAUCAAGUAACCUGAUUUUUUACAUGUCCAAAAAAACAACAACAAAAAAGUAUUGAAGCCUACCUUAAAUUUCAUCUAGGGACAAAAGGAGGAACUAGCCCACCAAGCAGGUUUAAAGGGAGUGUCGGACACAAAAAUGACAUGCCCCAUAUUGCAGUCUAGAAGGAACAACACGGUGAAUUGUCUACUGCAGAACACUUCACUCUGUCUCGAUUACUACAUGGUGAAUUGAAGUUCCAGUAGAGAGGGAGUUGAGCUGAUACUGAGGAGAUAAAUACCCAUCACUGUAUACAUCUACUUC